GUAGCAUAAUCAUUUGUUUUUUAAUUAAAAACUGGCAUGAAGGGUUUAACAAGUGAAAAUAAAUUUAAAAGGAUAAGAUAAAAUUUAUAGUUUAUGUAAAAAUACAUAAAUGAGUAAAAGGGACGAUAAGACCCUAAAAGCUUUAUUAUUGAAUAUUUUCUAAUAUCAUUAAUAUUUGGAGGGUAUAAAAUAUUUUAACUGGGGUAGUUGUUUUUUUUACAAAUAUUUUUAUUAACAAUUGGGAUUAGAGGUCCUUUAUAUAAGGAUAAUUAGUCGAAGUUACUUUAGGGAUAACAGCAUAAUAAUAAUGGGGAGCCCUUAUUUAUAUUAUUGAUUUUGACCUCGAUGUUGAAUUAAAUUCCUUUAUAAAGUAGAAAUUAUAUUUGAAAGUUUGUUCAACUUUAAAAAUUUU
rnacentral:rRNA from 1 species